CUGCUAGGGAAGGCAUCGAGCUUGAGGAAGAGGCCUCAUUCAUCUCCGUACCCCAGGCCCUAGUACACAGCAGAUAAACCUGCCAGUAAUUUCAGCAAAUGAAACGUGGAACACGUCAAGGCCAGAGGAUGGAAAAGGCUCCAGUUUUGAUAAAAGGAGGCCUGCUUGGCUUGGAAUCCUCUCUCCUGCUGGUUGGGAGAUGCAAAGAUGUUUCCAGAGAGGGGCUGAUGAAUUGAGGGGAAAGAAAUGAGCCCAGUAUGAGUCCCCUUUCAGGGCUGAGUGUGUAUAAAACCAAACAACUUGGAACCGCUCCAAGAGAGGGGAUUAAAGCAACAUGUUAUUCUGAGUGAUUGCUUAAUUUGUUGAGCUGUGGCUGGAUCUGUAAUGAAAUACAGCCCUUGUAACUGAUAACCUCCUGCUGCAAUUGAACUUCUACAAUUAAGGAAUAUUUUCUGAGUUUCUCUGGAACGGCUCUGAAUUUUUAGCCUCUGUGGUAGGGUGCUUCUGAACAUUUGUUUUCCAGGCAAUUUUUUUUCUUGAGUAUUAGGCUGAUGUUAAUAAGUAAGCAGCAUU
rnacentral:lncRNA from 1 species